rnacentral:rRNA from 1 species
CCUACGGGUGGCUGCAGUGGGGAAUAUUGCACAAUGGGCGCAAGCCUGAUGCAGCCAUGCCGCGUGUGUGAAGAAGGCCUUCGGGUUGUAAAGCACUUUCAGCGGGGAGGAAGGCGGUGAGGUUAAUAACCUCAUCGAUUGACGUUACCCGCAGAAGAAGCACCGGCUAACUCCGUGCCAGCAGCCGCGGUAAUACGGAGGGUGCAAGCGUUAAUCGGAAUUACUGGGCGUAAAGCGCACGCAGGCGGUCUGUCAAGUCGGAUGUGAAAUCCCCGGGCUCAACCUGGGAACUGCAUUCGAAACUGGCAGGCUAGAGUCUUGUAGAGGGGGGUAGAAUUCCAGGUGUAGCGGUGAAAUGCGUAGAGAUCUGGAGGAAUACCGGUGGCGAAGGCGGCCCCCUGGACAAAGACUGACGCUCAGGUGCGAAAGCGUGGGGAGCAAACAGGGUUAGAUACCCGAGUAGUC